rnacentral:tRNA from 1 species
CACCAGAGGGUGCAAUAAGACUU